AUAGAACAAUAUUAUACAAGAGGAAGACACUCCGGAGUGGAUUGUUUUUACAUCUCUCAGAAUUAUAUAAAACUUCCAAAGAGUACAAUUAGAGAGAAUGCCAACUUCUUCAUAGUAUUUCCUCAAGAUAAGAUGAAUUUAGAUUACAUC
ensembl:ncRNA ZC53.18 ncRNA